rnacentral:rRNA from 1 species
UUUAGUGAUGAUAGCGAAGAGGAAAUACCUGUUCUCGUACCGAACACAGAAGUCAAGCUCUUCUGCGCCGACGAUAGUUGGCUUCGCGCCUGCGAAAAUAGGACGUUGCUAGGU